UACCUGUCAUGAUUUCAGCAGUAUUAGCAUUUCUUUUAUGGUCAAGACUAUAUUAUCGGCAAGGAGUUAAAAUUAGGGGCAGAGCUACAUGGUCUAAAGGGAGUACAAUUUAAUGCUUUUCACGGGUUUGAAUCUCAGGUGUGACAUUUUUACAUUCCUUUGAAUUUCCUUGUGAGAAUUUCAGGCUAUGCCAAUAGUCAAAGUGAAUGAACAAACAAGGUUGUGAAAGUAAUACCACUAAGCUGAGAACUCACCAAGGGAAAUGAUCGUAAUCAGGGGAAAACAAACUAGGUUGUGAAAGUAAUACCACUAAGCUGAGAACUCACCAAGGGAAAUGAUCAUAAUCAGGGGAUGAAUGUGAGUCUGCAGCAUCACGCUGCCAAACUCUAAUCAUCCAUAUACCAUAGA
rnacentral:lncRNA from 1 species